rnacentral:rRNA from 1 species
AUUGAACGCUGGCGGCAGGCCUAACACAUGCAAGUAGAGCGGAGCGGCGGACGGGUGAGUAAUGCCUAGGAAUCUGCCUGGAAGUGGGGGAUAACGUCCGGAAAGGGGCGCUAAUACCGACUACUAUCCGAUGAGCCUAGGGCGGCUUGGCUAGUUGGGGGGGUAAAGGCCUAACAAGGCUACGAUCCGAAAAUGGUCAGAGAGGAUGAUCAGUCACACUUGAACGUAGACACGGUACAGACGCCUACGGGAGGCAGCAGUUGGGAAUAUUGGACAAUGGGCGAAAGCCUGAUCCAGCCAUGCCGCGUGUGUGAAGAAGGUCUUCGGAUUGUAAAGCACUUUAAGUUGGGAGGCGUUACCAACAGAAUAAGCACCGGCUAACUUCGUGCCAGCAGCCGCGGUAAUUC